rnacentral:rRNA from 1 species
CCUACGGGGGGCAGCAGUGGGGAAUAUUGGACAAUGGGCGCAAGCCUGAUCCAGCCAUGCCGCGUGAGUGAUGAAGGCCCUAGGGUUGUAAAGCUCUUUCAGCGAGGAGGAUAAUGACGUUACUCGCAGAAGAAGCCCCGGCUAACUUCGUGCCAGCAGCCGCGGUAAUACGAAGGGGGCUAGCGUUGUUCGGAAUUACUGGGCGUAAAGCGUGCGCAGGCGGUUUGUUAAGCGAGAUGUGAAAGCCCCGGGCUCAACCUGGGAACCGCAUUUCGAACUGGCAAACUAGAGUCUUGUAGAGGGGGGUAGAAUUCCAGGUGUAGCGGUGAAAUGCGUAGAGAUCUGGAGGAAUACCGGUGGCGAAGGCGGCCCCCUGGACAAAGACUGACGCUCAGGCACGAAAGCGUGGGGAGCAAACAGGAUUAGAUACCCUGGUAGUC